GCUCCAUUGUUUGCAUCCGGAGUAUUUUUUAGGCUACAGAUGAUCUCCGUAGGAUACUGAAUGAGUUAUGUGAUGGCAUGGUGCUGGUGCUUAUGUGAGGAUGAACCCAGCUGAUGUGUUAGAGAGACAGAGAGGAAAAAGACUGUCGUUUGUUGGUGAUUCACUCAACAUAGAACAUGUGGGAAUCACUUGUUUUGUAUCGUGAGGAAUUCUAUCAAAGACGAGAGAAAGCUGUUCGAGGUAUCCGGCAAUCGCAAAUUCAGGGAUGAGGUCUCCUACUCUUUCUUGUUUCAGAUAUCUGACUGGUACUUCCCUUGGAUCUUUUGUAUGGCCAGCUGUUUUGAUUACUGAUGUGCCUUAAGCAAUGGGGUCUACAAAAGGCAUAAAUAUCAAGAUUUUCAUUGGUACGUGUUGGAAUAGCUACAAAAAAAACAAAUCAUUACUUUAUUUACAGGUUAUUUUACAUGCAUUAUAUGUCAAAACCUCCUGGUUGAAGCAGCCAUCCUGCUUUAUGCUGAUUAAAUGGUGAAAGUUCUAACAAGUGAUGUUGUGGUCGUACCGUAUUACUGCCUGAUGAUGUAGCUAUUUGAGUGCUAUAGCUUCUAAUAAUGGA